rnacentral:rRNA from 1 species
UCAGGCCUAACACAUGCAAAUAGAGCGAGAAAGCCCUUUGGGGUGAGUACAGCGGCGGCGGGUGAGUAACGCGUGGGAAUCUACCCAGUAGCGGGGGAUAGCCCGGGGAAACUCGGAUUAAUACCGCAUACGCCCUACGGGGGAAAGCAGGGGAUCUUCGGACCUUGCACUAUUGGAUGAGCCCGCGUCAGAUUAGCUUGUUGGUGGGGUAACGGCCUACCAAGGCGACGAUCUGUAGCUGGUCUGAGAGGAUGAUCAGCCACACUGGGACUGAGACACGGCCCAGACUCCUACGGGAGGCAGCAGUGGGGAAUAUUGGACAAUGGGGGCAACCAUGAUCCAGCCAUGCCGCGUGUGUGAAGAAGGCUUUCGGGUNAGCACUUUCAGUGGGGAGGAAAAGUUGCUGGUUAAUACCCAGCGACCNACGUACCCNGA